rnacentral:rRNA from 1 species
UACGAAGGGGGCUAGCGUUGUUCGGAUUUACUGGGCGUAAAGCGCACGUAGGCGGAUCGUUAAGUUAGAGGUGAAAUCCCAGAGCUCAACUCUGGAACUGCCUUUAAUACUGGCGAUCUUGAGUCCGAGAGAGGUGAUUGGAACUCCUAGUGUAGAGGUGGAAUUCGUAGAUAUUAGGAAGAACACCAGUGGCGAAGGCGGCUCACUGGCUCGUUUCUGACGCUCAGGCGCGACAGCGUGGGGAUCAAACAGG